CAGCCAGCUGGAUCACUUCUCACAGGAGUCACAGCACAGAAACUGAGAGACAUGGUUCCAAAGCUGCUCGAUUCCGGACUUUGUCUACUUCUAUGGCUGGGGCUCGUGGCAAUGGUGGGCUCCUUCCAUGCCCCACCUGAUAUUCACAGACGUCGUCAGAGAUGUUCUACGUAGUUGCCUGUGACAACAGAAAUCCACGGGACUCGCCCCUGUAUCCGGUGGUUCCAGUUCACCUGGAUGCCAUAGUGCCACCGAUCCUGGAUCAGCAUGAUGUGCCAAGCCUCGCGCACCAAGCGCCCCAUCUAGGAGUCUCUGUGUGUCUACUUUUGCCGCUCUUCUGUCAUUUAGUUACGAUCUGUUCUAGAGACUUUUUCCUUCCCUGCCCUGAGAUUUAUGGAAAAUAGAGAGAUGUGGAGAUGAGAGACCGCAGCAUGAAACACAGACUUAUCCCGCCCCCUGCUUUAGGCCAAGAGCCGAGGCCUCGGCUGCUCUCUAGCAACUGACAAACCCUCUCCUUGACCGCUCUUCAGUCACGCUCCUCUGAACCCCCCUCCACAACUAGGUCCUCGCCGUGGGCUUCAGGGUCCUUCCUCUUAGAGUCUGGUUUUAACACGAAUCCUCCUAACUCAGCCUGUAAUGAAUCUCCCCACCACCCCCGCCCACCAUAGCUGACCAAA